rnacentral:rRNA from 1 species
GGUUCCUGGUUUAGUGGCGCACGGGUGCGUAACGCGCAUGCAACCUACCUUCCACAGGGGGAUAGCCCGGGGAAACCCGGAUUAAUACCGCAUGACACCUUUUCCUGGCAUCAGGAGAUGGUCAAAGUUUCGGCGGUGGAAGAUGGGCAUGCGUGCCAUUAGCUAGUUGGCGGGGUAGAGGCCCACCAAGGCGACGAUGGCUAGGGGUUCUGAGAGGAUGGUCCCCCACACUGGUACUGAGACACGGACCAGACUCCUACGGGAGGCAGCAGUAGGGAAUAUUGGGCAAUGGCCGAGAGGCUGACCCAGCCAUGCCGCGUGCAGGAAGAAGGCCUUCUGGGUUGUAAACUGCUUUUAUCGGGGAAGAAAACGCUCCUGCGGGAGUAACUGACGGUACCCGAUGAAUAAGCACCGGCUAACUCCGUGCCAGCAGCCGCGGUAAUACGGAGGGUGCAAGCGUUGUCCGGAUUUAUUGGGUUUAAAGGGUGCGUAGGCGGCCCGUUAAGUCAGCGGUGAAAUCCCAGGGCUCAACCCUGGAACUGCCGUUGAUACUGGCGGGCUCGAGUUCGGUCGAGGCGGGCGGAACUGGUGGUGUAGCGGUGAAAUGCAUAGAUACCACCAAGAACCCCGAUUGCGUAGGCAGCUCGCUGGCCCGAAACUGACGCUGAGGCACGAAAGCGUGGGGAGCGAACAGGAUUAGAUACCCUGGUAGUCCACGCCGUAAACGAUGAUCACUCGAUGUUUGCGAUACACGGCAAGCGUCCAAGCGAAAGCGUUAAGUGAUCCACCUGGGGAGUACGC